rnacentral:rRNA from 1 species
UGUAGCUUGCUACAUUACCUAGCGGCGGACGGGUGAGUAAUGCUUAGGAAUCUGCCUAUUAGUGGGGGACAACAUUUCGAAAGGAAUGCUAAUACCGCAUACGCCCUACGGGGGAAAGCAGGGGAUCUUCGGACCUUGCGCUAAUAGAUGAGCCUAAGUCGGAUUAGCUAGUUGGUGGGGUAAAGGCCUACCAAGGCGACGAUCUGUAGCGGGUCUGAGAGGAUGAUCCGCCACACUGGGACUGAGACACGGCCCAGACUCCUACGGGAGGCAGCAGUGGGGAAUAUUGGACAAUGGGGGGAACCCUGAUCCAGCCAUGCCGCGUGUGUGAAGAAGGCCUUUUGGUUGUAAAGCACUUUAAGCGAGGAGGAGGCUACCUAGAUUAAUACUCUGGGAUAGUGGACGUUACUCGCAGAAUAAGCACCGGCUAACUCUGUGCCAGCAGCCGCGGUAAUACAGAGGGUGCAAGCGUUAAUCGGAUUUACUGGGCGUAAAGCGUGCGUAGGUGGCCAAUUAAGUCAAAUGUGAAAUCCCCGAGCUUAACUUGGGAAUUGCAUUCGAUACUGGUUGGCUAGAGUAUGGGAGAGGAUGGUAGAAUUCCAGGUGUAGCGGUGAAAUGCGUAGAGAUCUGGAGGAAUACCGAUGGCGAAGGCAGCCAUCUGGCCUAAUACUGACACUGAGGUACGAAAGCAU